rnacentral:rRNA from 1 species
ACCGGCAAACGGGUGCGGAACACGUACACAACCUUCCUUUAAGUGGGGGAUAGCCCAGGGAAACUUGGAUUAAUACCCCGUAAUAUAUAGAAGCGGCAUCGCUUUUAUAUUAUAGCAGCAAUGCGCUUGAAGAUGGGUGUGCGGCUGAUUAGAUAGUUGGCGGGGUAACGGCCCACCAAGUCGACGAUCAGUAACUGGUGUGAGAGCACGACCAGUCACACGGGCACUGAGACACGGGCCCGACUCCUACGGGAGGCAGCAGUAAGGAAUAUUGGUCAAUGGACGCAAGUCUGAACCAGCCAUGCCGCGUGGAGGAUGAAGGUCCUCUGGAUUGUAAACUUCUUUUAUCUGGGAAGAAAUCCACUUUUUCUAAGGUGGUUGACGGUACCAGAUGAAUAAGCACCGGCUAACUCCGUGCCAGCAGCCGCGGUAAUACGGAGGGUGCAAGCGUUAUCCGGAUUCACUGGGUUUAAAGGGUGCGUAGGUGGGCAAGUAAGUCAGUGGUGAAAUCUCCGGGCUUAACCCGGAAACUGCCAUUGAUACUAUUUGUCUUGAAUACUGUGGAGGUCAGCGGAAUAUGUCAUGUAGCGGUGAAAUGCUUAGAUAUGACAUAGAACACCAAUUGCGAAGGCAGCUGGCUACACAAAUAUUGACACUGAGGCACGAAAGCGUGGGGAUCAAACAGGAUUAGAUACCCUGGUAGUCCACGCCCU